rnacentral:lncRNA from 1 species
GGCUUCUCUCCAUGCUAUCAAGACUAUCUGAAGAGGUUAUAGAAAUCCUUGGCCGGUCUGCACCUCACCUGCCCUCCAGGACACAUGUGAUGUGUGCAUCCAGAUGACCAAAAACAGACCCUUAGGGCUUCGAUAAGGGUUUACAAUAGUUUGAAGUGCUUUCGCUCACAGCUAGGGAACCUUUACAAACCAAGCUAGCAAUUUAACUCCUUGCUCUUCAUGGGACACAUCUUGGCUUGAAGUCAGCAGUAGAGUCAGGAGAAAGUUCCCAAAGAUGUUUGAGCAAUUCAAUUUCAUCCCUGCUCCCAUUGAUUUAGACUUCAGGUUUCGAGGGGAGCCUACUAAAGUAUACAUUAAGGAUAAUUUGCUUAGGCAUAUCUAAUUGUGGUUGUCCGAGUAGAUGAACGCAGAGUCUCUCAGAAGUCCACACCCAUCACAGCAAACAAGUAAGAAGCUCAUAACAGAGAACAUCUACUAUUGCUUUGUUUUAAAACCCCCCAGAUGCCAAACAUCCUUUCUGUUUCUUUCUGUUCUCCUCAAGCUCUGGUGUGUGUGUGUGUGUGUGUGUGUGUGUGUGUGUGUGUGUGUGUGUGUGUGUGUGUUGGGGGGAGGUGAGCAGUCAGGCAGAUUCACAUGUGCAGAGGGAGGGUUCAGAUACCCUGAAGGGGCAGACUCUGGAGGGCUACCACAUUCCAAGUGCUUCUCCAGAAUCACUCAAGUUAUCACCAUCCCAAACUCACUUUGUCAACCUGCAGUAAGAAGUCGCUAAGAAAUUCCACUACAGAUGUUUUCUUUUUUAACUGAAAAAUACAAGAAGAGGAUAAGAUACAGGAUCUGCAUCUUAGUAUAAUAAUUCACUUUGUAUUUAAUGGUUCUACCUUUUUGUAUGGAGUUAUUUGUGCCAAUUUUAAAACCCAUCUUUUAAAAAGAGAGGACUUGGCAAGUUUCUUUGUAUGUGGAUAGGGAUCUGUAUUUCUGUAGCCAAGCAAACCAAACAAACAAUCUAAAAAAAAAAUCAAAGAGGAAUGGCACGAGGGAAAGAGACCCAUCCAGAAAGUGGACCUAUUGAUGUCAUGGAAGGUGGCUGCUGCUUGUAAUCUUUGAAAAAUAACUGAUUCUGCUACUCACCAAGAAGGGCCCAGGACUGUUAAAUGUAGAACUGAGUUUUAGGAAACAGGAAAGCCCACUCUCUUCCCCCUCAUCCCCAUCUCCCUUAGCACCAAUUGGUUGACAAGAGAAGAUCAUUAAGAAGCACUACUGACCUUUGCAUUGAAUAGAUGUGUCCCUCCUCUAAUAGUCUUGAUUUCAACUCAACCAUAGGCCUUCCUUUUCUGUCAACUGGCUUAAUGUUUUACAGAAUAAUACAGAAGUACAAGCUUGCUUGUUUCUCUCCUUUGAGCUGAAACAAGCAAGGCAGCAGAGAGGUGAGUCACCAAAGUGUGAAGCAAGGCCUGCUCUAGUUCCCCUUCCAGAGUUUUUAUGGUUGACCUUUGAGUCUGUAGUCAGUUUUCUUCUCCUCCCCGACCCCUCUCCUU